rnacentral:sRNA from 1 species
GCCGGGUGUGGUGGCACAUACCUGUAAUCCCAGCAGCUCAGGAGGCUGAGGCAGGAGGAUUGCAAGUUCAAAGCCAGCCUCAG